rnacentral:sRNA from 1 species
UAAUAGCCCUGAUUGCAGCGACAUCCUUUUUCUUUUUAGAUUGGCCGAAGUGCUAACGUAGGCAUAUCCUAAAAAGAAAAAGAUAUAGCGAAAAGCGGGAAAUAGC